GGAGGCUACACAUGCAAGUCGAGCGGAUGAAAGGAGCUUGCUCCUGGAUUCAGCGGCGGACGGGUGAGUAAUGCCUAGGAAUCUGCCUGGUAGUGGGGGACAACGUUUCGAAAGGAACGCUAAUACCGCAUACGUCCUACGGGAGAAAGCAGGGGACCUUCGGGCCUUGCGCUAUCAGAUGAGCCUAGGUCGGAUUAGCUAGUUGGUGAGGUAAUGGCUCACCAAGGCGACGAUCCGUAACUGGUCUGAGAGGAUGAUCAGUCACACUGGAACUGAGACACGGUCCAGACUCCUACGGGAGGCAGCAGUGGGGAAUAUUGGACAAUGGGCGAAAGCCUGAUCCAGCCAUGCCGCGUGUGUGAAGAAGGUCUUCGGAUUGUAAAGCACUUUAAGUUGGGAGGAAGGGUUGUAGAUUAAUACUCUGCAAUUUGACGUUACCGACAGAAUAAGCACCGGCUAACUCUGUGCCAGCAGCCGCGGUAAUACAGAGGGUGCAAGCGUUAAUCGGAAUUACUGGGCGUAAAGCGCGCGUAGGUGGUUCGUUAAGUUGGAUGUGAAAUCCCCGGGCUCAACUGGGAACUGAU
rnacentral:rRNA from 1 species